CUCAGAUUGAACGCUGGCGGAAUGCUUUACACAUGCAAGUCGGCGGCAGCGCGGGGGCAACCCUGGCGGCGAGCGGCGAACGGGUGAGUAACACAUCGGAACGUACCCUGUCGUGGGGGAUAACGAAUCGAAAGAUUCGCUAAUACCGCAUACGACCUGAGGGUGAAAGCGGGGGAUCGCAAGACCUCGCGCGAGAGGAGCGGCCGAUGGCGGAUUAGCUAGUUGGUGGGGUAAAGGCCCACCAAGGCGACGAUCCGUAGCGGGUCUGAGAGGACGGCCCGCCACACUGGGACUGAGACACGGCCCAGACUCCUACGGGAGGCAGCAGUGGGGAAUUUUGGACAAUGGGGGCAACCCUGAUCCAGCCAUUCCGCGUGAGUGAAGAAGGCCUUCGGGUUGUAAAGCUCUUUCGGCAGGAACGAAACGGCGGGCUCUAACAUAGCCUGUCAAUGACGGUACCUGAAGAAGAAGCACCGGCUAACUACGUG
rnacentral:rRNA from 1 species